GACGAACGCUGGCGGCGUGCUUAACACAUGCAAGUCGAACGAUGAAGCCUUCGGGUGGAUUAGCGGCGAACGGGUGAGUAACACGUGGGCAAUCUGCCCUGUACUUUGGGAUAAGCCUUGGAAACGGGGUCUAAUACCGGAUAUCACUUCUGACCGCAUGGUUGGUUGUUGAAAGUUCUGGCGGUACAGGAUGAGCCCGCGGCCUAUCAGCUUGUUGGUGGGGUAAUGGCCUACCAAGGCGACGACGGGUAGCCGGCCUGAGAGGAUGACCGGCCACACUGGGGACUGAGACACGGCCCAGACUCCUACGGGAGGCAGCAGUGGGGAAUAUUGCACAAUGGCGAAAGCCUGAU
rnacentral:rRNA from 1 species